rnacentral:rRNA from 1 species
UACGUAGGGGGCUAGCGUUGUCCGGAAUCAUUGGGCGUAAAGAGCGUGUAGGCGGCCCGGUAAGUCCGCUGUAAAAGUCAAAGGCUCAACCUUUGAAUGUCAGUGGAUACUGCCGGGCUAGAGUCCGGAAGAGGCGAGUGGAACUCCUGGUGUAGCGGUGGAAUGCGCAGAUAUCAGGAGGAACACCGGUGGCGAAGGCGGGUCUCUGGGCAGCAACUGACGCUGAGGAGCGAAAGCGUGGGGAGCGAACAGG